AAACUGAAGAUUCUUUUUUCUCUCUGAGUAAUGAGACUCUUGGAUGAAAGGCUUAUUCUAUAGAUGGUUUUUAAUCUUCAUUUUCCACUUCCUGGUACCCAGAUCGGCGCAGGGGAGAUCUUUAACCUGGAUAGCAGUUUGUAUUUCUAAUUCAGCCCCAGAUUAGUCUCCUACUGUGUAUAUGAGAUGUUGAACACAAAAGAAAACUACCUGAGAGUGUGAGUUGUGGAGGUGGCUGGGCCAGAUGCUUGCCUGAGUGAUGAGCUGCAGAUAUCGGCUCAAGUGGAAUACUAACAAGGGCUGGUACAUGACUCCAACAUCAUUGAAUUUCCUUUUUCUCCUGCCAGUGGACAUGACAACUGAGGAUAAGGUGGCUGGGAGACCAUGAGGGCAAAUGUGACACAAGGCAGGAGUCUUGCCCGAGCUUGUCAGCUGGUUCUUAUUUCCUCAUGCUGCAGGAGCCUUCUCUGGUGGGGCAGAAAGACAAUGAGAUCUCCAUUCGAUUUUAUGGAUCAGUUUUCACUUUUCCAGAUGCAAAGAGAGGAGCCAUAAUUACCUUGCAUAUGUUUUGAUAGCAUCCCCUGGGCAAGUGGAAGGGGUAACUCACAACAGAUAAACUCUGCUUUUGCUCCAGAAAUGUCUCCUGCAUCUGCAACAGGGGGGUGUUGAGUGAUGCUAUAGGCAGCUGGAAGGGCUCAUUUAUUUGACCUAAUUAUUCCCAGUGUAGACCUGACUCAUCAUAACGGGCUCUUCUUCAAAGGAAAUGAGAGCCAGAUUGUCUCCUUGGCAGCAAUGGAAACAAAUGCUAUCCACAGAAUGGCUGUUAGAUUAAAAAAAGGUGCAACUUGCCUUUGGGACCAGCUGAUGUUUAAUGAUGUUACCAAGAAUAGAGGACUGGAAAGAGAGUAGUGUCAACUUCUGACAUUGUAGCUUUCUAAAAAUGUUCUUAAUAAAAUUAACUUACCAUUGGAUGCCAUGAACAAAAGUAACCACAUACUCAGAAUCCAAGGAAAAAUGGAAGCCUUGGGGUGUUUUUAUUAAUAAUCGACGAAAUCUCUAUGGGUACAAUGGAGGACUUUUCACAGAGACCUUAUUAUUUCUUAAUCCUCUUGGAUGCUCUAUUGAAGGAUUAAAAUGAUCUUUUUUUCCUAAGGGAUGGAGAAAUGGAGAAAGAGAGUUGACAUAACUCUCCUAUUACCAUCAAGCAAAUCAAACACAGAAUGGGACCAGCAUGCCACAUUCCCUCUGCGAAGCCUUAGAGUGCAACUGCAUUAGCUCAAUGGUGCAUUUCACAACGUCACAACUUCAUCUCAGGUCAUCACAAAUUGUCCAUAUUGAAACCUGGGUGCAAUGAGAAUAAUCACUUAAAUUUUCUCUGGUCCCACUUUUCUGCUUUACAGUGGUAGUUGAGAAUGUCAUACCCCUAAGGACAUGGGGAAGAUGUGUCCUUGACUGAUUGAUCCCUGUGACACAGUCUGACACUUUGCUUUUGUUCAGCAAUUCUCAAAGCACUGGAUUGCAAUGAUGCCCUGUUGACAGCACUGUUCAAAAGUCGACCUGUUGUUGCUGGAACCUCCAAGAAUACUGUGUUUGAUCUCAGCUGGGAUCUGUGUUGGAAGAGGAGAGGGAAUCCCACAAACUACUUGUGAAGAAGAUCCCAUUGUUCAAUCAAAUCCUCUGUCACUGUAGCAAUCCAUGUAUGCCGUUGCAGUUGGCAUUCUGACACGUGUACACAGUGUUUUCAUCUCUUCCCUGGAGUUGCAGCCAAAGCCUGAGAUUCCUUUCGACAUGACCCUGAAAAAACUCUGGGUUUGUGCUCCCCUCUGCUCUGCAAUAACAUACCAGCUCUGUGAUGUGGCCAAUGUUUACCUAGUUGGUGGGAGGACUUUUUAAUAUCAAAAGGAAAACAUUUCUUCUGCAUUCCACAUAGAAUCUGCCAAGGACAUUCCCAAAGAUCUACUUACUUAUUAGAGAAACCAAGAGAAUCCCAGCAGCACAGAGGGAUCGAGAAGGCUGAGAACAGAACUGGAGAUUAAUUUGGAGAGAGUUGCCAUCUUGACACUAUUGAGUCUUCUGACCUGUGAACAUGCAAACUGGGACACAUUUGAGAAUGAAAGGGGACACUAUGAGUAAGCCAGGGCAGUUCUGGGCAGAUUGGGAAUUAUGGUCAUCCUACCUGGUGCCCUCUUGUCACUGCAUGUGAUGAUAUCUCGCUGGUGGCAUGGUUCCCACAACUCUCAUUUACUCCUGUCCACCUGAAAAUUUAUUAUGUUUCCAGUGGUUUUAAGUAUAUUCCUGGCACAAAUAUAUCAAUAAAUAAAACCUUAAAAUCA